GUUUUUUGCCGCCCCCUGAAAAAUGCCGCCCAAGGCAAAUGCCUUGUUUGCCUCGCGGCUAAUACGUCCCUGAUUACAUGGUACUAUUACUGGGCUAUUCUAGUAAAUGCAAUGACAAAUCUACGUAGCUAGGCACACUCAACAAAUAUAUGUACGCAGGUAUGCACAAACAAUCCUUCCUUAACAUACAAAGACUGAAAUAAAACUAAAUUUUCACCAGAAUCCACACAUAAAACAUAACAUUUCAUAGUGCAGUAUAUAUGUAAAUAAAAAAUGUGAGCUUUAAAUAAACAGUAAUAAACUCUCAUUCUUCUGAGCCUCAAAUACUUGCCCAAUUAACCAGCAUAGGCUAACCUGCUCCAGAACAAAGAAGCAAUAUAGUAGAAAAUAUUUAUAGAUACUGCACUAUAGCAUUUUAUUUUUUUAGUAUAUUAUUUUAUUAGGAAAUGGCAAUGUAGCUUUUUUGAGGCAACUUCACCUUAUACAUACUGACCGCAGUCCACUCUUUCAAAUACUUGGGUAUGAUAUUAGACCCCAAUCUAUCUUUUGGCCUGCACAUAGAAAAGCUUGCAUCUAAACUUUAUCCAAACCUAGGUGCCCUGUACAGAAACAAAUCCUGCCUAAGCCCUACAGUAAAGGAAAAGAUUGUACAGCAAAUGCUGAUGCCAAUCAUUGAUUAUGGGGAUGUAGUAUAUGCAUCUGCAUCGCAAUCCCACAUUAAUAAACUCAACACAUUGUAUAACUCGUUCUGCCGAUUUGUGCUACAAUGUAAUUACAGGACCCACCAUUGUGACAUGCUAAAAGAACUAAACUGGCUGUCGCUGGAAUCCAGAUGCACCCUUCAUCUUUCCAGCCUUGUGUUUAAGAGCUUUUCUGGGAAACUCCCACCCUACCUGAACAAAAUGCUUUCCCCAGCUGUUCCCACUUCCUAUAAGCUCUGAUCCAGUACCAACACUUUACUUAGUCUACCUCAAUACAAAAAGAAAACGGCCCGAUCCUCCUUCUCCUACAGAGCACCGCAAUUGUGGAACGACCUCCCGCACAAUUUAAAAUCAUCCUUAAGCCUAAAGUCCUUUAAGAGAUCCCUCUCUAUAUACCUCAAAACAGAAUGCACCUGUCAUGGUUGAUUAUAUAUUUCCUGCCUGUUCUAUGUUAAAUUUUGUAUUUAUUGUGUAUUAAUAUUGUUUUUGUAUUUUAUUGUACCCUAAUGUAACAAUGCAAUGAUUUGUGGACCCAGGACAUACUUGAAAACGAGAGAAAUCUCAAUGUAUCUUUCCU